AGAUAAUAGAUACCCGGGUAGUCCUGGCCCUCAACGUUGCUCGCUCGUUUUACGGAGUAUCGACCCUCUGUGAGACUAAAGCUAAACGCGGUAAGCGAGCCGCCUGGGUAGUACGAUCGCAAGAUUAAAACUCAAAGGAAUAGACGGGGACGUCGCACAAGCAGUGGAUUAUGCGGCUUAAUUCGUCGGUAAACGAAGAACCUUACCAAGGUUAGAACCCAACUGCAUCCGACCUGAAAGGGACGGAGCCUUCGAGGGUGUUGGGCAGGUGAUGCAUGGUCGUCGUCAGCUCGUGGUUUGAACUGUUCCCUUCAGUGGGGUAACGAACGCAACCCCGUCGU
rnacentral:rRNA from 1 species